UCUCCCCUGCCCGGCAACGGGUAACUUUUCAUUAGAGACACAGAUGUCUUAAUAACGCGAUGCCAGGCCCUCCCAUGGCAGCUCCAGCAUCCCCUCCACUGCACUGCAGACAGAUGUGAAGAGGGGGCAAAGCGGUGAGGGGCUGAAAGGCGGCCACAGCCCAGCAGGGUUUCCAUCUCCAGGCCCCAAAUAUCUGCUGUCAGCUUUGCCCAGGCUUUGCCAGCUGCCGCCACCUCCCAAGCUCAGGGUGGCUUUCCAGCACUGUACCCUCUCUGGCAGGGCUAACUAGUGGCCCUCACUUCAGCAGCUCUGGGGCUAUGCCCUUGACUUUCCCUAGCCUCCAAUUCUCUCCCCCAGAGCGAGUCUGCAGACCCAAGUUCACCACCUGCCCAUUGCCAGUCCUCAUGGGGGACAAUGGCCCUCCAGCCCCAUGGCUAAUAGAGUUUCCAUAUCUUCUGUGGGCCUGGGUCACUAUUUCUUGGUUUAAACAUGUCCUGGCUGCACCACUUUCCCCGUGGACAGUCCACUGAGGUGCAGUGCUGUUGGCACCUCACUUAAGGCGCUUAGAACCCUUGGUCCUGGGUAGAGUUGUUUUUUGAGUGCCUCUCCCACUACUCUUCCCUGGGCACCGUCAGAGUGUGAGCACUACCUGUAUCCCCUCCACUCCCUCCGGACUCCUACAGGCUGUGGGGUCUGCUCUGCACCCUUCUAAUUGCGCCCACACUUUAUGUGUGGCAGGUGUUCAUUGGAGAGGUGUGGACAAUGAGUGACAGUGUCCUGGUGUCCUCCAUUAGUUGUCUGUCAUUUUUAGAUUAGUAGCUCUUUCUCUGGGCUCCUCUUGUAAAACACAAAGCCCCCUGAGGGUUUGGGUCAGUGAGGGGUCCUUAUCUCACAGUGUGAAUCUGUCACCUGGUGGUUUCCUGCCUGGGGCGAGGGAGGCAACUGGACUAGUAGGGGUGCUAAAGGCCAAUUCAGCUGAUCUCUUGAUUGACUGGGGCCAGACCUCCUCACCAGGGUGUGAGGACUCCAAAUCGCACACAACAGGGCCAAACCCAGUUCUGAUGCCCACAGCGGCACAAGAGAAAGGAGGCUUGCAUGGCUCAUUCUGCCUUUGAAACUCUCCAGGGUUCAUGGUGUCAAAUGGAAAUCACCCAGCCUGGGGUCCAAGGCCCUCCUGGCCUCCUCCAGUCAGUCUUACCCAUCUAACUCCACUUGCUCCAACCACAUCCUGCUCUCCUGUUGACCUGUUCCCUUCAUGGACACCAGCAAUUUUGUCUUGCAUUUCCUGGGAGUCUUUGUUCUACCUAAGUCCACCUUUGGAUACCUCUCUCUGUUCUAGUCUGUCUAGGUAAAUCUAUCUCAUGGCCUUAUCCUGGCUUGUCUGUGUGGGUGAGUUCUUUUUCUCCAAUCACAAGUGCAAGAUGACAGUGCCUCCAAUUUCUUACGUUGACCCAGCAGAGAUACAUUUGGAUGGCCUUGUGGGAUGUGAGGUUGGAAGUUCCUCUGCUUCCCUCUUUCAGCUCCCUACAACAGCUGAAACCACCUCAACACCUGGCCUCAGAUUCCUUGUGCAGCCCCAAGGGGGCAACCUGCCAGCCCAAGUCAGUACAGCAUGUGCCACAAGUCUGGAAGAAUGUGUGGUUUGAGAAUGGAAGAUCCAAAUUCUUGUCCUAGCUCUGCUGCCCUUUCUCCAUCUGUAAAUUUUUGGCUAUUUGGAACAUGCUUCAAGAUGGUGGCUGUCAAUAGGCUUUGGAAAGAAUUUAAAACAGGCAAACAAACAACUAAAAGAGCAGGGUGCAUCAUGGGUAAAGGCUGGUGGAGUGAAUGUAGCUGCCCUCCCUUGCCAGUGCCCUUUGUAAUAGACAGCAUGGAGGAGGCGGGUGACUGGACAGAACUAAGGUCAUUGAGUCAGUAGUUGGGGUCAGUCUGGGAUGAGGGAUUUGGCUCCCCCCCCCCAUUCCUGUGGGGUCUUGCUGACAGCAUUGCCAAAUCACCAAAUGUGUUCCUCGCAGACAGCUUCCUAAAGGAAGCCAAGAACCCAUCUACCUCCGGAGCAUGGCACAGGCAAACGUGCCCUGCUCAUGUCUUUUGUUUUUCUUAAUUAAAGUAGCAAGAGCCAGGAUUCCGUCUCUGAAGGUGCAGCCUCGGGUCUGGAUGUCUUCAUUCUGGCUGUGCCAUUGGUGUGCCUGCCUGUGUUGGCAGCUGGACACAUGGCCUCGGGGGCCUCACAGGGAGAAGCCCAGUUUUAGCUGGGGUAGAGCUGAGUCAAGGCUUGAACCCUGGUCUGUCUCAGAGCCCCGCACCUGCCAGGAAUCCUGGGUUGAGACCUCUGGAGGCCCUUUGGAUGUACUUUGUUCUGACACAAGAGCAUCUAUUACAUCAGGAAUUGUCCUGGAGGAUACCUUUCCCAAGCUUCAAAACUCACAGGAGAUGUUCACAGUUGUUCUUCAUUCAGGAAUACUUGAACACCAGCAUGAUACCAGGUAUUCUAUGGGGGCUUUUACUAACAGGCUGGACAACAGUUGGUCUAGAAGACCCCCCAAACAGAAGCACAAAACAUCUAAGACAGAUCCACCAGUCAUUGGCCACUAACCCAGAGCUGCAUGCAGUCCCUCUCAGGACUGGAAGCAGGACAAGGGUUCGUUACUCCAGAGGGGAGAAACAAGGUCUUGACUCAAAAAGACACUUGCCCACCCAAUUGGCAACGUGCUCUUGGGCAAACCAACUCAGCUCUUAUGGCUUAACUGUCCCCAAGCACAUCCACUUCCAGCUAUGCCCUGGCUCAGAUGUUCCCUGAUGCUCUGCCUCUCCCCGAUGCUGAUGACUGUCACUGGUGUAGGCCAUCUGGGAGAAGAGAUACGAGUGGGAAAGCAAACUGGUGAGAUGUUUUAUGCAUUAGCUGGGUUAGCUCUGGACACCCAAAUUACCCAUUCAAACACUUUCCCAGGUGUUGCUGCAAUGGAAUUUUGUAGAUGCAGUUAACACCUAUAAUCCACAUCUAUAAUUAGUUGACUAUAGGUAAAGGAGAUCAUUUUUAAUGUGGGUGGGCCUUAUCCAAUCAGUUGAAAGGUCUUAAAAACCAAAACCAAGAUUUCCUUGAAAAAGAAGAAAUUCUGCCUCUAGACUACAGCAUCAACUUGGGCCUGAGAAUGUGUCUUGCUGAUCUACCCUACAGAUUCUGGACAGGCUGGUUACCCACAAUCAUGUGAACUGAUUCCUUGAAAUCUAUUAACUAUCUGUCUGUUUACCUAUCUAUCUACUGUCUAUCAAUCUAAAUAUUUCUUCUCUGAGAAUCCUGACUGAUACACCUGGGUUCCGGGACAUUUCUAAAUAAAUGUAUUUGCAGCCUUCAUGUUUUUUCCAGGAAAUGUGACUGGUUGGUCUGCUGAUUUCUGUUAAGUGGAGAAGAAUCACUUGCAGUUAGGUGUAUUCCUCCGUCUCCAAACCAUUGACUGAAACCCUUGAAACAGUCUUUUCUUCAAUCAAGUGACUGCCCAGCCCCAGUUUUUCAAAUCAGGUGUCAUGUUCCCAACCCACCAUGCCUGCUGGAUUCAUAAAGACAAUCUGGAUUCCAGGAUCUCAGGCCUGGAUUGGGUGAGCUUCACUGGAAUCUAUAUUUUUUUUGAAAAACUAGACCGGUGUCUACUUUACUGUUCUGAGCAGAUGAUGUUCUUUGUUUAUGAGAGAAAUUAGGCCAAAUCCAACUUUUCCACAGAUGGAGAAGCCUGAAUUAUUUAUCAGAGGCUCAUGAAUUUGGUUCUGGCAAAUGGCAGGGCUGAGGGUGGCUGAUUUGUGUUCCACUGUCAGAACAGCUUGAUCCCAGCAGGUCCUGGGCUGUUCUGACACAGGGUUGGGUCUGGCAGGGGCCCCAAGGGCUGGCUCUGGAUACGGGGUAGAUGGGGGACCCUUCCUUGGCUGCUUCUGCUGGGCUCCACUGGUUCCCGGAGUGCUGUGCAGCCAGGCCUUGGCCAGGGCCGUGAAUGGCCGGUGGCUCACCUGGGCUUCACUGAGCUCUUGCUGGAGCGCUGGGUGACUGCAGUGGGAGAAGGGAAGUGCGAUGGAGAGGGCAGUGUUCAUCAAACUUCCCUCCCCCGCUAGACAGUCCUUUCUUUUCUAAUGGAACCACAAGGCCAGUUGGUGAAAACUGGGGGUGGUUGGCUGUGUCUAGCAUCUCAGCAAAUGCCUAUCAUGUAAAGGUCUAUUUCUAGGCUUCUGAUGAGCACAGCAUCAUCAUGGAAGAAAGAGUGAGCUCUGCUCUUAUUGGGGAAGGUCUCAGGAAAGUGCCUUUCACAGUGUGAUCUGAUGGUCAUUAGUAUGUAUUUAUUUAUUUAUUUAUUUUGGUGGUGCUGGGGAUUGAAUCCAGGGCCUUGUGCAUGCGAGGCAAGCACUCUACCAACUGAGCUAUAUCCUCAGCCCCUAAUACUAACUCUUACAGACUGAGCACGGGUCUUGGGUUGUCCAUGAAUUAGCUCAUUUGCUUUUCAGAAUAGCCCUAUAAAAGUGCUACGGACAAUGCAACCAAGGAACAGGAGCAUUCAGGAGCUUGUCCAAGAUUUCCUAGCCAGCGAACCACAGAGCUCAGCUCAGACAGCGCGCCUCCCCUGAUAGGACACGGAUGCACGAGUUCCCAGGCAUCUGCAAUGGGCCAGAAAGCCUUCUGCCUUUGAGACGCUUUUAUUUGAAUGGAGAGAAAGAAAAGGAUGUCCUUUCUACCCAAUCACACACAGACGCAGGCUCUCACCUCCCUGGGAGCUACAGGGUUUUACUCAACCCAAAAGGAUCUGGGGACAUUGCGUGUUAAGUCCUUAGUUGCCUUGAUCUGGGGCAUGGAGAGAUCUUUAAGGAAGUCUGGGCUGGAUUCUAGGAAUUUCUGCCUGUUGGGUAUAUCCUUCUCUGGCCACACAGUCUUCUGUCUCCUUGGGGCUGCUGGCCUGAAAAUCUAGUUCCAAAUAUGCCAGCAGUUUGCUGGUGGCCUGGAACAAAUCUGUGUACUUCUCUGGGUCUCCAGCUCUCCUGCUGCAUCCCCAGGCAUGUGCACUUCUUGUCUGGGUUUCUUUCUGUUUUUUUUUUUUUUCUAGGGCCACCUGGAGGGGACCUGCCCCUUCUGGUGUUGAAGCUGUAUAACAAAUGAUCAUGUGGGAAUGAGCCAGGAGGCUGCUGAGGUGAGCCUUUAAGUGUUUGGUUUGAACCAUUUUAAUUUGCAUUCAAGUUUAAUUACCAUCCAUCUCUAAGGUUGCCCACAUGGGAGAAGAGGCAUUUGGGUCCCAAAGAUUCUUGCUCCUGCUUCUAAAUGCUCCUUCUACUGUAUGUGCCUGGAGUGUCUGCCAGCUCCCCUCCUCCAUGGGCUCAUUUCCUUCCAGGGUUUCAGAUUAGAGACCCCCCCCCCCAAACAGCUGCCCCUUCUCUAACCCCUUCCUUCUGAAUUCCACAGGACUGCACCCUCCUCUUCUAUGUUCUCCUUCCUAAUCCUUCCAUCUCAGAGGAGGCAGAUGGGGAGUGGGUGUGGGGGACAGUUGGGGUAGAAGCUUUUUUGUCAUUCCUAAUUUAGGCAAAGAGCCAGGGUCUGGAUGUGGAAGAGAGACAAUAAAUAAAAGUUCAAGCCAAAGGAAA